GUUCCUGUAGCACAAUGGAUAGCGCGUUGGAACCUCUAAUCCAACAGUCUUGGGUUCAAGUCCCACCUGGGAUG